CCUACGGGAGGCAGCAGUGGGGAAUCUUGCGCAAUGGGCGGAAGCCUGACGCAGCCAUGCCGCGUGAAUGAUGAAGGUCUUAGGAUUGUAAAAAUUCUUUCACCGGGGACGAUAAUGACGGUACCCGGAGAAGAAGCCCCGGCUAACUUCGUGCCAGCAGCCGCGGUAAUACGAAGGGGGGCUAGCGUUGCUCGGAAUUACUGGGCGUAAAGGGAGCGUAGGCGGAUAGUUUAGUCAGAGGUGAAAGCCCAGGGCUCAACCUUGGAAUUGCCUUUGAUACUGGCUAUCUUGAGUAUGGGAGAGGUUAGCGGAACUCCGAGUGUAGAGGUGAAAUUCGUAGAUAUUCGGAAGAACACCAGUGGCGAAGGCGGCUAACUGGCCCAUUACUGACGCUGAGGCUCGAAAGCGUGGGGAGCAAACAGGAUUAGAUACCCUGGUAGUCCACGCCGUAAACGAUGAGUGCUAGUUGUCGGCAUGCAUGCAUGUCGGUGACGCAGCUAACGCAUUAAGCACUCCGCCUGGGGAGUACGGUCGCAAGAUUAAAACUCAAAUGAAAUUGACGG
rnacentral:rRNA from 1 species